rnacentral:rRNA from 1 species
AGUGAACGCUGGCGGUAGGCCUAACACAUGCAAGUCGAACGGCAGCACAGUAAGAGCUUGCUCUUACGGGUGGCGAGUGGCGGACGGGUGAGGAAUACAUCGGAAUCUACUUUUUCGUGGGGGAUAACGUAGGGAAACUUACGCUAAUACCGCAUACGACCUACGGGUGAAAGCAGGGGAUCUUCGGACCUUGCGCGAUUGAAUGAGCCGAUGUCGGAUUAGCUAGUUGGCGGGGUAAAGGCCCACCAAGGCGACGAUCCGUAGCUGGUCUGAGAGGAUGAUCAGCCGCACUGGAACUGAGACACGGUCCAGACUCCUACGGGAGGCAGCAGUGGGGAAUAUUGGACAAUGGGCGCAAGCCUGAUCCAGCCAUACCGCGUGGGUGAAGAAGGCCUUCGGGUUGUAAAGCCCCUUUGUUGGGAAAGAAAAGCAGCAGGUUAAUACCCCGCUGUUCUGACGGUACCCAAAGAAUAAGCACCGGCUAACUUCGUG